rnacentral:rRNA from 1 species
CUACGGGGUGCUGCAGUGGGGAAUCUUGCGCAAUGGGCGAAAGCCUGACGCAGCAACGCCGCGUGCGGGAAGAAUGCCCUUUGGGCUGUAAACCGCUUUCAGCAGGAACGAAAAUGACGGUACCUGCAGAAGAAGAAGCGGCCAACUAUGUGCCAGCAGCCGCGGUGAUACAUAGGCUUCGAGCGUUGUCCGGAUUUAUUGGGCGUAAAGAGUUCGUAGGCGGUUAAGUAAGUCGGGUGUGAAAAUUCUGGGCUCAACCCAGAAACGCCACCCGAUACUGCUUGACUUGAGUUCGACAGGGGAGUGGGGAAUUCCCAGUGUAGCGGUGAAAUGCGCAGAUAUUAGGAGGAACACCGGUGGCGAAGGCGCCACUCUGGGUCGACACUGACGCUGAGGAACGAAAGCAUGGGUAGCAAACAGGAUUAGAUACCCCCGUAGUC